CCCUUAGAUGUCCUGGGCCGCACGCGUGCUACACUGAUGCAUACAGCGAGUACUUUCCAGCUCCGCGAGGCAGCUGGUAAUCAGCAAUAUGCAUCGUGCUGGGGAUAGAUCUUUGGAAUUAUAGAUCUUGAACGAGGAAUUCCUAGUAAGCGCAAGUCAUUAGCUUGCGCUGAUUAAGUCCCUGCCCUUUGUACACACCGCCCGUCGCUCCUACCGAUUUCGAGUGAUUCGGUGAACCUUUUGGACAGCGUCUGUCCUCGUGUCAGAUGCUGAAAGUCAAGUAAGCCAUAUCACUUAGAGGAAGGAGAAGUCGUAACA
rnacentral:rRNA from 1 species